GUUUGUAUUUAUGUGUGCAUGUGUGUGGGAUGCAUAUGUGUAAUACUGUUUUUAUCUAUGUAUAUGCACAUGUGUGCUAUACAUGUGUAGAUGGCUGUGGAAGACAAAGGCACUUUAGGUGUUGUCCUAGAUAACUUUCCAAUUUGUUUUCCAUUGAACCAAAGAGCUCACUAAUUGGCUAUAGUAUCUGUCCUUGGGAUUUAUUGUUCUCGAUGAGCUUUUUUAUACUGCAUCUCUUUCAUGAGUCCUGGAGUUACAAAUAUGUCAUCAAGGCUUGCUUUGAUGUGUAUGCUCAGUAUCCAAAAUGAGGCCUUCAUUUUUGCAUGAUAGGCAUUUUGUCAAUUAAGCCAUCUUUCCAGCCCUCCAUCUCUCUUUAUCCUUGGCUAGACAUAGAAUUAAAUACCUUAUUGUACAUUCACUUAAAUGAUCUGGACUUAAAUAAUUGAGUGACUUUUCCCUCAUGUACCUCUUCUACUUCAUUUUCUCUUACAGAAAAGAAAAUGGAAGCCUUUAAAUCUGAAGAAUAUUUACAGCACAAUUUUGCCUGAUGAUACUUUUUUGGCAAGAUGGACUGACAUUCAUCCAGUCUUACACAGGCACUUCUACUAACUGCCAACAUGUUAUGUGUCUGGAGAGGUGUUGACUUCUGGACAGUAAGCAGCAGAAGAGAACAAGACCAUAAGUGAGCAGAUCAGCCAGAUGGCAACACCAACUGCUCUCACAAAGCUGGGCUUUUAAUAACCGAGCUUACUGCAAACAAAACUAAUUAAGCCAGUUCUUCUGAUUAGGAUACUAUAGGCAGAAGUAAAUAAAAAAUAUACUCACAUUCACUUCUAAUAGCUUUUCAAAGGUCAGAUAUCUUGAUUUUUUUUCAUCAUAGCAGUUACUCCACCAGAUUGCACUUGAGAAUUCAAAUUAACUGUAUUCACUAAUUCAACAGCUCUCUCAUGUCUCCCUAGACAGCAAGUGCGAAUUCCUCCUUCUACCAAAACUGAAUAAUUAAACCCUGAAAGGAGAGCUGUUUGUCAUACUGGUAGGUAAUGGGUUGGUUGAGAUUUAGUGGGAAAAGAAGGUAAGAGUCAACCUACGACAAGGGGGAGAUUGAAAAAAGAAGACAAAGACAGUCUAGAGAUACCACCAGUUUGUGAGGGAGAACUUUUAUAAAGAACCUGAAAGAAUCUGUCUGUUGGUUCAUGCACACUGCUCACAGGCUUACACUGAGUGACAGGGUGGGCACAUUUAGUGUUAUAUAGAACCCAGAAUUGCUGUUCCUCUGAAGCUAUGGGAAAAGUAGUUGAACCAGUAAUGCAUAUUUUACACACGGGGAGAGCCUCCUUAGCAUAGUGACUUUCAUGAAAAGUCAUUAUGAACAUCAAGCUUCUCAAAAUUUGUAGGGCACAGACUUGAACUUGUUAAUUUCUGUAGUGUCUCCUCAGCACUUAUACUGAAAACAGUUCCUCAGCCUUUUCUAUCCUAAUACCAUUUACAAUGUAGAUUUCAUGUUUAAUAUCUUCGUAUAUUUAUGUGUGACUACAAAAAGAGUAAGCAUACCAUAAGAAUUAUUGGUCUAAUAUACAAGCACAUCUUUGAAAACAUUUACUGAGACUACAUACAGUCACAUAUACAGUUGAUGAUACCGAUUUAGAAAAGAGUCUGGAUAGCAUUAUUGUGUUAUUGACAAUAGAAUCUAGUUACUUUUAUUUGUCUGAAUGUUUCUGGAAUUUCAUCCCUGAGGUAAAAUAAUAAGUAGAUGCUCACCUUUAAAUUGGCAUAUCUAAGAUUUAUUUAUGUAGCUUUAAAGAAGUGGAAACAUCCCCCUAAUCUCCCUCUUUCUAUACGUUCCAUUUACUUUCAUAAACAAAAUGGCAAGACUUUGCUCUCAAACUCUUUAAAAUGAUGGAAUGUUGAUCAGAGUUUAAAGAAUGUUAUGCACUAACUUAUGGGGAGGGGGUGCCACAUGUGCCCUGUUGCAGUUUAGAUACAGAGUUUACUCUGCUAGUUUCUUGCCAUGGGACCUUUCAUACAAUGGGAAACAUUGUGGGCAUGCAAUGUGGGCAGAAUCAUCUGCCUGCCAUGUGAAAAGCUGGGAGCAGGAAGUUUUACAUUGGUAGACUCAGAAUUUUGUCCUCACAGCUAAAAUUUAGGGAUUUUAUCCGACAACUUUUUGCAUCAUUGAGUAUGAACAAUAAAAUUGAAUGCUCCCAUUUCCUCAAAAAAAGAGCAAUUUGACAUUCAAAAAUAAAUGCACAUACAUUUAAUAAAAAGUCUAUGUGGUGACACUUUACUGAUAUGUACCUUAAAUUUGUUCGUUUUGGAGUAAAGUGUUCUGAUUCAACAAUGCUAUCACUGUGUAUUUUCUAGUAUAGUAUCUGUUUGGGAUAUUUGUUUUCAUCCCAGUUAUAAAAUAUAGUUUCACAUCAAUAAACAGGCAGAGUUGAUGUAAGGAAGCCAGGAGUCACAGCUCAUGCAGUUACUAUGACUUCUUUUAUUUCCUCUCACUGGGGCAAGAAGGAUGAAGAUUCAUAGCCGAAGAUUGAAAGUAGCUCGAUCUGGGAGCUCCUUUUCCACUCUAUUGCUCCACCUGACAUCUAGGAAUUAUGAAGCUAGGCUUAGUCUCAGCAUGGAGAAUAAGGACAGUUUCUAAAAAGAAUUAUUUGCAAAUGUGGACAAUUCACCAUGUAUGGCGUGGCCUAAAUCCAUUUCCUUUGGGUUUGUCCUCAACUUUGUAAGGGAUCUAGCAGUUCACCCCAUAUGGUGAAUGGAACCUUUCCUCUCAGAAGACCCACAGCAAUGAGUCUGUACAUUAUAGGUGACCAAGGAACUCAAGAUACUCUAGGGAGGUGGUGUGUGCUUAUAUACUUCUAGAGUUUGCUGUUUCUGUUUCUUUGGCUUGGGCAGGUCUCAGAGAGCAUGCACACAUAUGGGCUGGCUACUGUGAAGUGUGCACUCUGUCAAGAUUCUUGCCUUUCUUGCUUCUUCAAGUUGCUUAGUGUGAUAGUAAGCUGGAGGAUAGAGUUAGUACAUCACUUUCUGUUCUUUCACAGACUGGAUUAUAUCAAACUCUGCUGUGCCUGCCUCAUCCAAUGGCAAAGUAUAACCAGGAGAGUAAGCCAUUGGCAAGCUAGGGGUCAAGCCGUGGCCCCUGGCUUUCUUUGUACUUUUUUAUAUUCUGCAUUAGUAGAUGUUACUGUCUGUUUUGGGUACAGUAACAAAAUUCCUGGGAAUGUGUACUUUGUAAAGUAAAGAGGUGCAUUUUGGCUCAUAAAUUUGCAAGUUCAAGAAUGUGAGUCUGGUGUGUGCUUAACUUGUGAUGAAGGCUGUGUUCUAUAUUUUUCCCCAUUGCAUGGCGAAAGUAGAAAUGCAAAAAGCCAAGGAUGAUGCCAGACUAUCUGGACAAUCUUAUCUCAUGACAAAUUCGUCCCUACUAAACACCCUGCUGCCGCCCAGCAUCCUUGUCACACUGACAAGAGAAGCCUCUGACUGAGGUUUGGUAUGAACAAAGCCUAUUCACGCUAUACCACCAGGUUUUGAUCGUCCUCUCCAAGAGUCUUUGGCUGAAGAGGCACAUUAUCCUCUUUCAUUGGCCCUUUAAUAUUGUUCUUUCACAGCUAGAGCUUGAACUUGUUUGGAAUAAAGCCUUCAGUGAAAGUGGGAGAGUAAUAGUAACAGAAGGGAGGGGUGAAAUCUAUAGCAGUCUCAUUAUAGUCAUUCGUUAACUAAUGAGGCAGCCAUGCAUUCUCAGUAAUGUCAGGGAUACUGAAGAUUUAUCACAACACAUUAAAGGCUGAUCAGAGUGUGUCCUGAGAUAAACAACGAAGUCAACUAUACAGAAAUGACAGUAGAGAAAAGCGCCAGCUGGUCAAAGGCUUGUGAGUGUGGGUACUCCAAGGAAGACUGAAUCUACUCAUAUUUCUCUUGUAUGAAUCUCUGCACUGUUCCAUAUGCAGAUGAGAAAUUAAAAAUCCAGAUACACUACUUAUUCCAAAAAUAUUUAUUUUUGUGUUCCAUGUGGGUGAGUAUGAUAGACACUACUAGGCAGAGUAGAAUAGUGAAAGGUCAUAAGUUUUUGGUUCAUCAGACAUGUCCCCAGCUGAAGGAAAGUAGUGAUGAGGAAUAUGUAACAAGAUCCCAAGGGACAGGAGGUUGUUGGGGUUGUGGGAUUUCAUUCUCUGGAACAUGGCUCACAGAAUGCUUGUCAAGUUAAGGUUGGCUACUCAAAAGAGGAAGGAUAUGUGGUUGGUUCUUGAGCAGUCUUUGGGGUUGGAUGACAGGGAUGUGUGAGCUGUCAGAGGUUGAGGAGGUAAAAGUGACUGGCCUUUUCAGGAUCAGCGAGGAGAUUAGUAGGUCUGCUCUUGCUUAGGUUGCAACAGGUUGUUUUAGAUUCUGUGUUGGUGCCCAAUUACACAGGGAAUGAUUCCUAGAUGUUUUGUAAUAGCAACAUUAGUUUAUCACAUAAGGAGUAAUGGAAAAUGUUCUCGUAGUAGCUGCUUUCCCUGUUAAGGUGACCAAAUAUCUAACAAGAAGCAAUUGAAGGAAGCCGUUUAUUAUGGCUAUUAUUAUUUUAAGCUAUAAUAUAGUCAUUAUGGCAGGCAAGGCAUGGAA
rnacentral:sRNA from 1 species